rnacentral:rRNA from 1 species
CCUACGGGAGGCAGCAGUGAGGAAUAUUGGACAAUGGGCGCAAGCCUGAUCCAGCCAUGCCGCGUGCAGGAAGACGGUCCUAUGGAUUGUAAACUGCUUUUAUACAGGAAGAAACACCUCUACGUGUAGAGACUUGACGGUACUGUAUGAAUAAGCAUCGGCUAACUCCGUGCCAGCAGCCGCGGUAAUACGGAGGAUGCAAGCGUUAUCCGGAAUCAUUGGGUUUAAAGGGUCCGUAGGCGGUUUAAUAAGUCAGUGGUGAAAGCCCAUCGCUCAACGAUGGAACGGCCAUUGAUACUGUUAAACUUGAAUUAUUAGGAAGUAACUAGAAUAUGUAGUGUAGCGGUGAAAUGCUUAGAGAUUACAUGGAAUACCAAUUGCGAAGGCAGGUUACUACUAAUAUAUUGACGCUGAUGGACGAAAGCGUGGGGAGCGAACAGGAUUAGAUACCCUGGUAGUCCACGCCGUAAACGAUGGAUACUAGCUGUUCGGAGCAAUCUGAGUGGCUAAGCGAAAGUGAUAAGUAUCCCACCUGGGGAGUACGUUCGCAAGAAUGAAACUCAAAGGAAUUGAGG